UACGAAGGGUGCAAACGUUGCUCGGAAUCAUUGGGCGUAAAGCGCACGUAGGCGGCCUGAUAAGUCGGAUGUGAAAUCCCUCGGCUCAACCGAGGACGUGCAUUCGAAACUGCCAGGCUCGAGUAUGGAAGAGGGUCGCGGAAUUCCCGGUGUAGAGGUGAAAUUCGUAGAUAUCGGGAGGAACACCAGUGGCGAAGGCGGCGACCUGGGCCAAUACUGACGCUGAGGUGCGAAAGCGUGGGGAGCAAACAGG
rnacentral:rRNA from 1 species